GACGAACGCUGGCGGCGUGCUUAACACAUGCAAGUCGAACGAAGUGGCGAACGGGUGAGUAACGCGUAAUCAACCUGCCCUUCAGAGGGGGACAACAGUUGGAAACGACUGCUAAUACCGCAUACUGAAGGAGGGGAUUGCGUCUGAUUAGCUGGUGGGAGGGGGAACGGCCCACCAAGGCGAUGAUCAGUAGCCGGUCUGAGAGGAUGAACGGCCACAUUGGGACUGGGACACGGCCCAGACUCCUACGGGAGGCAGCAGUGGGGAAUCGUCCGCAAUUGACGAAAGUCUGACGGAGCAACGCCGCGUGAGUGAUGACGGCCUUCGGGUUGUAAAGCUCUGUUAAUCGGGACGCGGUACCGGAAUAGAAAGCCACGGCUAACUACGUGCCAGCAGCCGCGGUAAUAC
rnacentral:rRNA from 1 species